rnacentral:rRNA from 1 species
GAACGCGAAGAACCUUACCCAGGCUUGACAUGCAGAAGACAACUCUAGAGAUAGAGUCUCCCUUCGGGGCUUCUGCACAGGUGCUGCAUGGCUGUCGUCAGCUCGUGCCGUGAGGUGUUGGGUUAAGUCCCGCAACGAGCGCAACCCUUAUCAUUAGUUGCCAACAUUUAAGGUGGGAACUCUAAUGAGACUGCCUGGGUUAACCAGGAGGAAGGUGAGGAUGACGUCAAGUCCGCAUGGCCCUUAUGUCUGGGGCUACACACGUGCUACAAUGGUCGGUACAGAAGGCAGCGAAACCGCGAGGUGAAGCAAAUCCCAAAAACCGAUCUCAGUUCAGAUUGUAGUCUGCAACUCGACUACAUGAAGACGGAAUUGCUAGUAAUGGCGAGUCAGCAACAUCGCCGUGAAUACGUUCCCGGGUCUUGUACACACC